CAGCAUCUUUGACAGCCUGGGCUCCCUGCUGUAGGAUGUCCUGGGUUUUAAUAUUUCAGAUGCAAUAUUAAAUGUCCCUGCGCUUUCUGCACGCCUCUUCUGUGGCGUCUCAGAUUGAAGAGGGGAGGACAAAU
ensembl:snoRNA small nucleolar RNA SNORA31